rnacentral:rRNA from 1 species
UACGGAGGGUCCAAGCGUUAUCCGGAAUCAUUGGGUUUAAAGGGUCCGUAGGCGGUUUUGUAAGUCAGUGGUGAAAGCCCAUCGCUCAACGGUGGAACGGCCAUUGAUACUGCAAGACUUGAAUUAUUGGGAAGUAACUAGAAUAUGUAGUGUAGCGGUGAAAUGCUUUAGAGAUUACAUGAAUACCAAUUGCGAAGGCAGGUUGCUACCAAUA